GGGUUGUGAGGUUAAGCGACUAAGCGUACACGGUGGAUGCCCUGGCAGUCAGAGGCGAUGAAGGGCGUGCUAAUCUGCGAUAAGCGCCGGUAAGGUGAUAUGAACCGUUAUAACCGGCGAUACCCGAAUGGGGAAACCCAGUGUGACUCGUCACACUAUCAUUAACUGAAUCCAUAGGUUAAUGAGGCGAACCGGGGGAACUGAAACAUCUAAGUACCCCGAGGAAAAGAAAUCAACCGAGAUUCCCCCAGUAGCGGCGAGCGAACGGGGAGGAGCCCAGAGCCUGAAUCAGCAUGUGUGUUAGUGGAAGCGUCUGGAAAGGCGCGCGAUACAGGGUGACAGCCCCGUACACAAAAGCGCAUGUGCUGUGAGCUCGAUGAGUAGGGCGGGAUACGUGGUAUCCUGUCUGAAUAUGGGGGGACCAUCCUCCAAGGCUAAAUACUCCUGACUGACCGAUAGUGAACCAGUACCGUGAGGGAAAGGCGAAAAGAACCCCGGCGAGGGGAGUGAAAAAGAACCUGAAACCGUGUACGUACAAGCAGUGGGAGCCCCACCACCAAAGCAUUCUCUGGUGUUGAAGGCCCUGCAAAGCAGCAUCGCGGUGGCGGAGCGUCGUUUGCGACGCCCAACACACAAAACAAGCGGUGAGUGCUUUGGGGUGGGGUGACUGCGUACCUUUUGUAUAAUGGGUCAGCGACUUAUAUUCUGUAGCAAGGUUAACCGUAUAGGGGAGCCGUAGGGAAACCGAGUCUUAACCGGGCGUUAAGUUGCAGGGUAUAGACCCGAAACCCGGUGAUCUAGCCAUGGGCAGGUUGAAGGUUGGGUAACACUAACUGGAGGACCGAACCGACUAAUGUUGAAAAAUUAGCGGAUGACUUGUGGCUGGGGGUGAAAGGCCAAUCAAACCGGGAGAUAGCUGGUUCUCCCCGAAAGCUAUUUAGGUAGCGCCUCGUGAAUUCAUCUUCGGGGGUAGAGCACUGUUUCGGCUAGGGGGUCAUCCCGACUUACCAACCCGAUGCAAACUGCGAAUACCGGAGAAUGUUAUCACGGGAGACACACGGCGGGUGCUAACGUCCGUCGUGAAGAGGGAAACAACCCAGACCGCCAGCUAAGGUCCCAAAGUCAUGGUUAAGUGGGAAACGAUGUGGGAAGGCCCAGACAGCCAGGAUGUUGGCUUAGAAGCAGCCAUCAUUUAAAGAAAGCGUAAUAGCUCACUGGUCGAGUCGGCCUGCGCGGAAGAUGUAACGGGGCUAAACCAUGCACCGAAGCUGCGGCAGCGACACUGUGUGUUGUUGGGUAGGGGAGCGUUCUGUAAGCCUGCGAAGGUGGCCUGUGAGGGUUGCUGGAGGUAUCAGAAGUGCGAAUGCUGACAUAAGUAACGAUAAAGCGGGUGAAAAGCCCGCUCGCCGGAAGACCAAGGGUUCCUGUCCAACGUUAAUCGGGGCAGGGUGAGUCGACCCCUAAGGCGAGGCCGAAAGGCGUAGUCGAUGGGAAACAGGUUAAUAUUCCUGUACUUGGUGUUACUGCGAAGGGGGGACGGAGAAGGCUAUGUUGGCCGGGCGACGGUUGUCCCGGUUUAAGCGUGUAGGUGUGUGUUCCAGGUAAAUCCGGUUCACUUUAACACUGAGGCGUGAUGACGAGGCACUACGGUGCUGAAGCAACAAAUGCCCUGCUUCCAGGAAAAGCCUCUAAGCAUCAGGUAACAUCAAAUCGUACCCCAAACCGACACAGGUGGUCAGGUAGAGAAUACCAAGGCGCUUGAGAGAACUCGGGUGAAGGAACUAGGCAAAAUGGUGCCGUAACUUCGGGAGAAGGCACGCUGACA
rnacentral:rRNA from 1 species